AUGGCCUGGACGCCUCUCCUCCUUGUGAUCCUCUCUUACUGCACAGGUUCCCUCUCCCAGCCUGUGCUGACUCAGCCACCCUUCCUCUCUGCGUCUCCUGGAUCAUCCGUCAGACUCACCUGUACCCUGAGCAGUGGAGCCCUUGUUGCAGGUUACUACAUGAGGUGGUUCCAGCAGAAGCCAGGGAGCCCUCCCCGGUACCUCCUGAGUUAUAAAUCAGACUCGGAUAGGCACCAGGGCCCCGGGGUCCCCAGUCGCUUCUCUGGAGCCAAAGACACUGCGGCCAAUGCGGGGCUCCUGCUCAUCUCGGGGGCACAGCCUGAGGACAAGGCCGACUACUACUGUGCUACAUGGCAUGGUAACUCAAAGACUCCACAGUGCUCCAGAUCCACGGGGAAGUGA